GCAAAGCCUCUCCAUGG
rnacentral:misc_RNA from 1 species